UCCCAUAUGGUGUAGUGGUUAGCAUAACGCUCUCUCAUCUCGAUGUGUUCAGCGUAGACCCUGGUUCGAUUCCUGGUAUGGGAG
rnacentral:tRNA from 1 species